CCUACGGGGCGCAGCAGGCGCGAAACCUUCGCAAUGCGCGAAAGCGCGACGAGGGGAGCCCGAGUGCCCUUCCUUCGGGGAGGGCUUUUCCGGAGUCUAAAAAGCUCCGGGAAUAAGGGCUGGGCAAGACGGGUGCCAGCCGCCGCGGUAAUACCCGCAGCUCAAGUGGUGGCCACUAUUAUUGAGCCUAAAGCGUCCGUAGCCGGACCUGUAAAUCCCUGGGUAAAUCCUGGCGCUCAACGUCAGGAAUUCCGGGGAGACUGCGGGUCUUGGGACCGGGAGAGGCCGGAGGUACUCCCGGGGUAGGGGUGAAAUCCUGUAAUCCCGGGGGGACCACCUGUGGCGAAAGCGUCCGGCUUGAACGGCUCCGACGGUGAGGGACGAAGGCCAGGGGAGCAAACCGGAUUAGAUACCCGGGUAGUCCUGGCUGUAAACGCUGCCCGCUUGGUGUUGCCGGUCUUUCGGGGGCCGGCAGUGCCGGAGCGAAGGUGUUAAGCGGGCCGCUUGGGGAGUACGGCCGCAAGGCUGAAACUUAAAGGAAUUGGCGGGGGAGCACUGCAACGGGAGGAGCGUGCGGUUUAAUUGGAUUCAACGCCGGAAAACUCACCGGGGGCGACCGGCAUAUGUGGGCCAGGCUGACGACCUUGCCCGAAUAAGAGCCGGAGAGGUGGUGCAUGGCCAUCGUCAGCUCGUACCGUAGGGCGUUCACUUAAGUGUGAUAACGAGCGAGACCCCCAUCCCCAGUUGCCACCUGUCCCUCCGGGGGCAGAGCACACUGGGGAGACCGCCGGCGCUAAGCCGGAGGAAGGUGGGGUCAGCGGUAGGUCAGUACGCCCCGAAUCCCCCGGGCUACACGCGCGCUACAAAGGGCGGGACAAUGGGUUGCGACCCCGAAAGGGGGAGCUAAUCCCGAAACCCGUCCGUAGUUCAGAUCGAGGGCUGUAACUCGCCCUCGUGAAGCUGGAUUCCGUAGUAAUCGCGGGUCAACAUCCCGCGGUGAAUGCGCCCCUGCUCCUUGCACACACCGCCCGU
rnacentral:rRNA from 1 species